ensembl:lncRNA
GUUUUUUGGAACCCGGUAGUCCGCCUGAGACGUAGAGAGUGAGAUAAAUAAAGUUCGGGGGAAGAGUGUUUGUCCGAAGUUGAGAAUGGCGGCAAAUAAAACGCCUCUUUGAGGCUGUAGUUUAUUUUCCCUUCGACAAUGUCAGAAAUACUCAAGACGCAAGGUGGCUUCCCUGUAGUGCACAAAAAUAAACCAACGUAGGAAGACGCAUGCGUAGUUCCACAUUGUGCGACUCGGGUGCCUCUUGAGGUAUUGUUUGGAGAAUGAUUCGCAAGGACCUCGUGGCGCAACGGUAGCGCGUCUGACUCCAGAUCAGAAGGCUGCGUGUUCGAAUCACGUCGGGGUCAAGAGUUCCUUUUCAAAAGAAGGAAUUAUUUUAUAUUGGGAACCCCGCGUUAAGCGCUGAGAUUGAAGGUUGAAAAUAGCAUUCUUAGAAACGUGCUUGUGAUUUCACCGUGAAGCUGUGACGAGAGCAAGACAUGACAAUAGGGGUCUUUGGGGAUUGUAGUAUACUGGGGAAAACGGCAAGCACAAAGAUGCGACCGCGCCGCACGUGAGAAAGCUCACAGGAGGCGCGCGCGGUUGGGCGUGUGAAAUGGGNAGAAUUGGCAAGGUCACGAGAAAUAAACCGUGUUGGACGGCGUCCUGAAAGAAAAAGCCCAUACCAUUAACAGAUAUGGAGAAGAUUACUGUGGAUGUCAACUUAGUAGACAAAGAACAAGACAAUGCAGAACUGGACUGCAAAGAUGAAAUUAGGGUUAAAGCUAUGAGUGAUGUGGAACUACGGAAGCAGCUUUGUAUCUACGGAAUCAGCCCUGGACCAGUAUUAUCUUCUACAAGGGCCAUCUAUGAAAACAAGUUGCUCCAGCUGAUGAAGCAGUGCCCCAAAAUAGUUGCUAGUGUGAACAGUGAACUCGAUAGUUCUGAAAAUGAUGAAGGAAAAGGGAACACCACAGAAGUAGUUCUUGAAACAAACAACCUCAAAGUGACAGCUGAAUGUGCCUCUGGGCUUGAUCACCUUCAAGAAAUAUUGCCAGAGGGUAAAAUGUCACUGCAUCGGUCACAAGGGUUAAGGAGGAAAAGUGGCAGCAGUCCUGAGAGGAACUAUAAACGAAAGAAAAGUGAUGCCCCACCACACCAAGACUGUGGCUAUCCUGAUACUAACAGUGUAGGACAAAGUACAAGAAGAAGAACAGUAAGAGAGACUCCUUCUACUGUGAAGCAGGGUACUAAAGCCAAGUCCCGAGUCAUACCUGAGAAACCAAGAGCAGAACUUAUACCAACACGUGUGAAAAUUGCUGCACUGGCAAUCUUCAUUUUCCUCCUCUUUGUGUAUAUCACUAUGGAAACCAAUCUGGGUAAUCCAUUUUCAGACUUCAUCAAGGGCAAGUGAGUGUCUCCUGUCCUUUAGUGGUGAAAUGGUUAGAUCACAGAAAAUAGUUCUGUCUAACUUGGAUAAGUGANUUGGGUAGGUAAUUAAAAAGCAAAAUGAGAUUGCUGUGUGUGGUGUUUUCUUGCUGUAGAAUCCAUUUUCUACACGUCACAUAUUAGGC